UACGAAGGGGGCUAGCGUUGCUCGGAAUCACUGGGCGUAAAGCGCACGUAGGCGGCUUUUUAAGUCAGAGGUGAAAUCCUGGAGCUCAACUCCAGAACUGCCUUUGAUACUGGAGAGCUUGAGUCCGGGAGAGGUGAGUGGAACUGCGAGUGUAGAGGUGAAAUUCGUAGAUAUUCGCAAGAACACCAGUGGCGAAGGCGGCUCACUGGCCCGGUACUGACGCUGAGGCUCGAAAGCGUGGGGAGCAAACAGG
rnacentral:rRNA from 1 species